rnacentral:rRNA from 1 species
UACGUAGGGUGCGAGCGUUAAUCGGAAUUACUGGGCGUAAAGCGUGCGCAGGCGGUUUUCCAAGACAGAUGUGAAAUCCCCGGGCUCAACCUGGGAAUGGCAUUUGGGACUGCAAGGCUUGAGUGCGGCAGAGGAGACUGGAAUUCCUGGUGUAGCAGUGAAAUGCGUAGAUAUCAGGAGGAAUACCGAUGGCGAAGGCAGGUCUCUGGGCUGACACUGACGCUCAUGCACGAAAGCGUGGGGAGCAAACAGG